rnacentral:rRNA from 1 species
GACCAGACUUGGGCUUGGUUGAUCAUCCGGGGUUCUCCCCGGUGCACUCUUCCGGCCCAGGCCAGCAUCAGUUCGCCCUGGGGGACAAAGGCUUCGGGAACGUGGCUCUCUCCGGGGAGUGUUAUAGCCCGUUGCGUAAUACCCUGUGGCGGACUGAGGUUCGCGCAUUCGCAAGGAUGCUGGCGUAAUGGUCAUCAGUGACCCGUCU